GACUGGUCUAUGGUUGAACCUAUAUACUUUAGAGAGGGAGACUUUUCUACUGAACAAAGUCUAAUCAAACAGGGGAAACCAGCCUCCCGUGUCCCCAGCUGUGUGUCCAUGAAGAGUGACUGGUCUAUGGUUGAACCUAUAUACUUUAGAGAGGGAGACUUUUCUACUGAACAAAGUCCAAUCAAGCAGGAGAGACCAGCCUCCCGUGUCCCCAGCUGUGUG